UACGUAGGGUGCAAGCGUUAAUCGGAAUUACUGGGCGUAAAGCGUGCGCAGGCGGUGAUGUAAGCCAGGUGUGAAAUCCCGGGGCUCAACCUCGGAACUGCAUUUGUGACUGCAUCGCUGGAGUGCGGCAGAGGGGGAUGGAAUUCCGCGUGUAGCAGUGAAAUGCGUAGAUAUGCGGAGGAACACCGAUGGCGAAGGCAAUCCCCUGGGCCUGCACUGACGCUCAUGCACGAAAGCGUGGGGAGCAAACAGG
rnacentral:rRNA from 1 species